AAAGAAGUAAGCUAAAUUAAGCUACUGGACUCAUGUUCCAGAAAUGGUUUUAAUAACCCUUCUUU
rnacentral:tRNA from 1 species